AUCCAGAUGAAGAGUCCCAACCAGGACAAAACAUGUGUCCUGGAU
rnacentral:hammerhead_ribozyme from 1 species